ensembl:snoRNA small nucleolar RNA, C/D box 35B
GGCAGAUGAUGUUUGUUCUCACGAUGGUCUUCGGAUGCCCCCAGGGGACUGCCGACAAAGCCACAUGGCUCAGCUGAUGCCAGAGG